GGGGUAGUUCCGGAAUUCGACAGGUUAUUACAAGCAUGAAUCGCGUUCCCGUUUGUCGGGUCAUAGACUGCAGAAUUUAACUGCAAAAAAUAAUCAGAAUUCUUACGCACUUGCAGCUGCCUAAACGCAGCGCCGCGUGAUCCUUUGCUGAAUCCACGACAGCAAUAGGAUUUAAUUAAGUGGAUCAGCCAUUUGGUUUUCGUCCACGGACCAUUUGGUGAAAUAAAUCUGGACUAGCUGUUGGUUGGGAUGCCAGUAACUUGACUUGCAGUGAAUUUUUUUACUGACUAUGAGCGUAGAAAUUUAUGCGAUUGGAUAGCUUGGACAUGGGUUCGACUCCCAUCUACUCCAUUU
rnacentral:tmRNA from 1 species